GAUGAACGCUAGCUACAGGCCUAACACAUGCAAGUCGAGGGGAAACGAAGCGGGAGCUUGCUUCUGCUGUCGUCGACCGGCGCACGGGUGAGUAACGCGUAUCCAACCUGGCCUAAGGUAAGGGAUAAUCCGCAGAAAGUGGUUGAUACCUUAUGUGCUCCUAUGAGGCCAUCUGAAGAGGAGCAAAGAUUUAUCGCCUUAGGAUGGGGAUGCGUCUGAUUAGAUAGUUGGCGGGGCAACGGCCCACCAAGUCAUCGAUCAGUAGGGGUUUGAGAGGAAAGUCCCCCACAUUGGAACUGAGACACGGUCCAGACUCCUACGGGAGGCAGCUGACGGCCCUAUGGGUUGUAAACUGCUUUUAUGCGGGUAUAAAGGAGCAUACGUUAUGUUUUUGCAGUUACCGCAUGAAUAAGGACCGGCUAAUUCCGUGCCAGCAGCCGCGGUAAUACGGAAGGUUCCGGUGUAUCCGGAUUUAUUGGGUUUAAAGGGAGCGCAGGCUGUCAGAUAAGCGUGUUGUGAAAUGCGGUUGCUCAACAUCCGCACUGCAGCGCGAACUGUUUGACUUGAGUACGCACGACGUUGGUGGAAUUUGCCGUGUAGCGGUGAAAUGCUUAGAUAUGGCGAAGAACUCCGAUUGCGAAGGCAGCUGACGGGAGCGCUACUGACGCUCAUGCUCGAAAGUGCGGGUAUCGAACAGGAUUAGAUACCCUGGUAGUCCGCACGGUAAACGCUGGAUGCCCGCUAUAUGCCCUUUAGGGUAUGUGCAAGUGAAAACGUUAAGCAUCCCACCUGGGGAGUACGCCGGCAACGGUGAAACUCAAAGGAAUUGACGGGGGCCCGCACAAGCGGAGGAACAUGUGGUUUAAUUCGAUGAUACGCGAGGAACCUUACCCGGGCUUGAAUUGCUGAGGAAGGCUUCAGAGAUGGAGCUGCCCUUCGGGGCUUCAGUGAAGGU
rnacentral:rRNA from 1 species